AUGGCCUCCAUCCCCUCCAGCGGCUCGCUUGUGGCCAUCCAUGACUACCGGCGCCACCUGGGUUCCACUUCCAGCAACAGCUCCUGCAGCAGUACCCAGUGCCCCACGGAAGCCAUUGCCCACCCCCCGGGUAUCCCCAAGGCUGACCCGGGUCACUGGUGAGCCAGCUUCUUUCUCAGGAAGUCCACCCUCCCGUUCAUGGCCACGGUGCUGGAAUCUAUAGAGCACCUGGAACCCCUCAAGGCCUCCAGCAACAUGACCACCUGUGGCCUGGCUCGCGACACCCCGAGGAAGCAGCCCGGUGGUCAGUCCAGCACAGCCAGUGCUGGGCUCUGGUCCUGACCUGAACGGUUACCACUAGCCCCAGGCCUGCCGAGGCGCUAGGCCACCGGAGCCCCUCCCGCCCCUCUCCCCAUUCC